rnacentral:lncRNA from 1 species
AGAACAUUGGCUGCGACGACAGCGACUGAAGCGCAGCUGGAGUGGUAAGAUGGCGGACGAGCAGCUGCAGCAGCUCCGUGCGGUGCUACAGGGGGAGGGGAAGGUGGUUUCUCCUGACACAAGCUGGAGGCCGGAGCCUGUGGCACCCUGGCUUGCCUCACUGAAGCUGGUGGCUGUGACAGGGACUGCACGGCUGCUGGAGUGGUAGAAAGGCAGCCCAGGUAGGCUUUUCUGACUUUACUGGCCCAGCUGCUCUGUGCCAGAAGGAGGAGCAACCUGCCACACGCUGGAGGGUGGAGGCUGGAGCCUGGAGCCUGGGACGUGGCGGCUGGCGUCACUGCGGAAGCCAUCAUUCUGUAGAAGGCAGUGACGGAACAGUACCAGCAGAAAUUGAAGGACCAGCAGAAGGGAUCAUGGCCAAAGUUGCAGUGUCCCCCCGCUCGUUGAAGAUGAGGAGUUCUCAGAGAGCGGGAUGUUUGUGACAUUCCUCAUGUCAGCUCUCGAGUCCAUGACUCUCACUCGGUCGUCCAGGCUGGAGUGCAGUGGCACCAUCUUGGCUCAUUGCAACAUCUGGCUCCCAGGUUCAAUCGAUUCUUCUGCCUCAGCCUUCUGAGUAGCUGGAAUUAACAGGUGUAUGCCAACUUAUCUGGCUAAUUUUGUUGUGUAUUUUUCUUUCAGUACAGACUGGGUUUCACCAUGUUGGCCAUGCUGGUCUUGAGCUCCUCACCUCAGGUGAUCCACAUGCCUCAGCCUCCUAAAGUGCUGGGAUUAUAGGCGUCAGCCACCGCUUCUGGCCUAGAUCAUUAACAUAUCACUAUGAUACUAAAAUUCCCUCUGCCAAAGAAAAUCUUGCCAUUUUGUGACAUGAGUUGUAUAAAGAUGUAUGUUUAUAUGCACUGAACCUGUGCACCUAGAGUUCCACCCUGCUCAUGCUAACGUUGUUCUCCCUCCCCGUACCUAGUUCUUAAAAACUCCAUGCCUUCCAUUUUUCAGGGAAAGGGUGUCUUUAGAGCAAGAACUCUUUUCUUCUCCAUCCCAGGCAGGGAAAAAACCCACUUGGCCUUGUUUCUGAUUGGGUUUUCUUGCUUUGCGACUAAUACAAAGCAGGAAAAAACUCCCUUUAUCAGUGAUAAAAACAAGUAAGAUUAUUAUUUACCCACCUAUUCUAGCUAGGGGUCAUGGGUGGCCGGAGUCUCUCCUAGCAACUCAGGGCGCUAGGCAGAACCAGCCCUGGAUCUGGAAUAGGGUGCCAUCAUAUGGCAGAGUGUACAUACACACACACACACACACACACACACACACACACACAGAGCUCAAAUGGGGACUAUUUAGAAAUGAUAGUUCACAUAAUGGGCACAUCUUUGAGAUGUGGGAGGAAACUGGGAGUACCCAGUGAAAACCCAUGUGGACCUGGGGAGAAUGUGUAAAGGACACACAGGAAGUGGCCAGCUGGGAGUUGAUUGUUUUUUCUUAUCAACAUUACAAUGAAAUGAUACUGAACGAAAUGACAUUAUUCAAGUACCUGCUGUAAUAGUCAGACUCCUUCAUAUAAAAUUCAAAGCCCUCUACACUCGGGCACUACAUUGGACUUCCAUCCUACACCUACAUUCUAGCCACUGUACUACACAUCAUUUACCAAAGGCGCUGUAUACUUCUGUGCUACCAAACAUUUGCCAGUCUGGUUCCCUCUGCAUUUCAAGAUUACACACCCCUCAUAAUCCUGCAAAGCCUUUCGUAUCAAUUUUUCUGUGAAGCUUUUCAGAAUCCACCACCACUCCCACCAUCACCCCAACUCCCUGAGAGGGCAGAUCUCUCUCUCCGUUUGGCAGCCACUUUUAAUAAAGCAUUUUUCACUG